CCUUCAACUACUAACAUCAACCAACUUCACAUCACAACCACCACCACUAUCAAUCACCACCAUCAUUAAAGUUACUACAAUACCAACAAUCAUAACUAUCACCACCAACAUUACUAAUCACUAACGCCAAUUAUUGCCACCACAAUCACCAUUACAAACCAUCCCAAUCACUACCAAACAUAAAUGCUUCUUUUUUCAAUUAAACAAUAAUUUGUGCAUUUAAAUUCAAAAGUUUGAAUUUUAAUAAAGACAAAUGCAGCCUAAACCCAGAACGCAAUAAUUGCUCAAAUCUUUUGCCCGGGCUCGG
rnacentral:lncRNA from 1 species